rnacentral:rRNA from 1 species
CAGCAGUCAAGAAUAUUAGUCAAUGGCCUAACGGCCGAACCAGCAAUUUGGGGGAAUGUGAUAUCUUUUAGUCGGGAUAUCAAUAUUAACGACUAUGUCGUAUAAAGUUCUAGAUAGAUGAUUGAUUAUGACAGUUUUCUAUCUAUAUGUCUUGACCAAAUCUUGUGCCAGCAGUCGCGGCAAUACAAGGAAGACUAGUGUUAUUCAUCUUAAUUAGGUUUAAAGGGUACCUAGACAGUAUUUCUAGCCUCCAAAGGGAACAGACUUACUAGAGUUUUAUGUGAGAGGAAAAUAUUAGAACCAUUGGAGUAGAGAUAAAAUGUUUUGAUACUAAUGGGACGGAUAACGGCGAAGGCAAACCUCUAUGUAAUAACUGACGUUGAGGGACGAAGGCUUGGGGAGCGAAUAGGAUUAGAUACCCUAGUAGUCCAAGCAGAGAAUUAUGAAUGUUAUAGAUUAAAAUAUUUGGUGUAUAAAUGAAAGUGUAAGCAUUCCACCUCAAGAGUAAUGCGGCAACGCAGGAACUGAAAUCAUUAGACCGUUUCUGAAACCAGUAGUGAAGUAUGUUAUUUAAUUCGAUAAUCCGCA